GCAGCCACGGCCCCUUUGACUCUUUGAUUCCAUGAGCUCGACUCUGCAACUUCCAUGGCGAGAACCGGCCACGCAGGCCUACGCAGCUCGCGCGAAACCAGACUGUCCACCGCGGGUGAUAAGCGGCAGGGCGGCUUCAUGGCAGGAGUCUUUUGAAGUAAAAUCUUUUGAUUGAUCCUUUUCGCGAAUGAUCACUUUCAAAAUCGGUUGAUAUUGUUUCGUUCUCCCUUCGAGUUCCAGCGUCAGCAGCGCAGAAGAAGUCUUGACGCUCUAGACCAGGGACAGUAGCUCUUCGGGAGAUUCUGCAAUCCCAAAAGUCUUGGGAGCUUAUCCUACCAGCUUCUAUUAGGCCUCUGGUCGACGCCCUGGUUGACACCUUACUGGAAAACUUGGAUACAGUAGAAAGUACAUUAAGGGCAUAGAAGCUUAGACACAUUAUAGCGUCAAACCUCUGUACUUUAUCAAGUUUUUGGUAAGGUGCAGAAUCUGAUGCCUAAUGAAAGGAACAGUUGGAGUUUCAAAGUUUUGCAGAAAUGCCCGGUCUUCCAAAGAGCCACGGUCUAUGGUGUCAAGUCUUCUCUGUUGUCUCUUGAUUUUCAAGGGAGAAGAAAAAAUGUCAAUAGAUAUUGCUAGCAACCAUCCUUAAUACUAUAAAGAUAACUAGAAUGAUCUUACUGUUCAAAAGACUCUACAUUGUGGAUCAAAAGAUCUUUCAAUCAGCAUUCUGAGGCUAUCUGGUGAGUUCUUCAAUUCCAUUGAUGGUGUUUAUUUCUCAUGCUUCUUCGAUCUUUAAUUGAUUUUUGAUGCGACUUUACAGGGAUAAGCAUUGAGAAUUUUUGCAUAUGUCAUCGAAUCAAGUGAGCUGCCAAUGAUGCCACGUGUCUGCCUUCUUCAUCAUCAUAGUCCUCCUUCCAUUGUCAUGAAACUACUAUAGCUUUUUUUGCAGAAACUUGUGCUUGCCAACCUGCUCAUUGACUUGGACAAUACCUUUGGUUUGGGAGCAAUGAUUUUUGAGUCAUCUUUCUUGUCAUGCCUUUCAUUAAGAGGAGAUAUGCAUUUGUUGAUUAUGUCCUGCCAUGUUGAAGCACAGUUAUUGAAGAGCCCUAGAAGAUUUAGUAUCCUAUUAUCCUGCUUAGCAAUGAUGAGUUUGACAAAAUUGGUCAAGUAUGAUUUUAGGUUAAUUUUGAAUAGUUCACUCUGGUAGGUGGAAUUACUCAUUUAUUGCUCUAAGUGACUAGAAAAUUGAAGUCAGUACUUUGUUUUGCAAGACAAAAGCAAUAUGUGAAGAUGCGAACUUUAUUUGUAUACUAUUGAAGGUAAGGUAAUUCUAGCUUUUCUUCAUUGAUUUAGCUCCGAUAUCUGCCAUUUCUGAGUUCCACCUGUGUUGUCCUCGAGCUUGAGCCAAGUUACUUGUGGGUUUACUUGAUUAAUGAUUGCAUAAUUGGUGGUGUUUUCCAUUGAUUCGAUUUUGUAAUUGUUGGAAGAGUUUCAUUGUAAUUUGAUUAAGCUGUUAUUUGUUUUGGCUGAGAUCGGUUUUGGUCUAAUUUUACAUGUUGAUGUUGCUAUAAUGUUCUGUGCUGACUUUCCUCUUGGACAAGUAGGUCUUUUAUUUGAAUGAGAGUGAUAUAUUGACUUCUGUUACUCCAUGUGAUUGAAGACAAAGGAGGUGUGGAAUACCAGCUUCAUAUGCCUUACCAGCUCCAUAUGCUCAAGUGUCCAUCAAAAAAGGCGGAUAUGAAAAAAGAUGUUGAACACAGACUAUAUCCUAAAGUCGAAAGUUUUAAAGGAAAGGACAUCUUAAAAUGGAAAGGAAGGAAACCUUGAAUCAAGCAAGUAGUAAAGAUAUUGAACUUAGAAAGGAGAUGCAUUUUUUUAGAAGAAUUUGUUACAUGACAAAGAUAAGAAGUUAUAGAAGAGUUCCUGCAUGACACCUUAAGAAAAUGAAGGUAUGCUACCCUACGAGUUUCAUACUCAUAGCUUAUUCCAGGUUGUAAACUACUUAGACUUUAAUUAAGGGGUUGAAAAAGGAUGACUUUUCCAGUAUGAACAGAGAAGGAGAUAUUGCUAAACUGGUAAAAUGUAGACAAGAAGUAAAGUUCCUUGUCCUUUUGUUUUCAGUAUGUAUUAGUUAGUAACUCAACUUUGACAUAUUCAUGGCUAGCUUUGGAGUAGGAUUAAAUCCACAUCAAAUUCUCUAUGGGAGAGAGAAUACUGUUUCCUCGACAGUCUGAUUGUGCUUAGCCACUUUCCAUGGACUAACAACUUGUAAUGUCAUAUCUAUAAUUACAUUCAGAUCAUGUGUGACUAGAAUACAUCUUAGAAUAAGGUUUGCGAAGUGCUGAGACGUUUUCCUUUCAUAUUUCAGUCUUGGUUACAUCAUCAUCGACCUUAAUGAGAAUCCUACUGAGAAGCACAAUCAGUCAUUACCAGUGAAGCAUGAAGUAAUUUCUGAUAGAAGCACACCCAGUGAGGGAGGAUCUUGAAUUGGCUCGACUACUUGAGGGUAAGAGGCAGCCUUGGUGAGCGAUUGCAUAUAGCGAAGAUCAGCAGCAUUGUAUACGAAGCGAUCCUGUUUAUACUGUCCUACUGUCCUGUGAAUCCUCAAUGAUCUUGUGGAUCCAGGAAAGUAAUUUGUGCUGUAGAAACAAUAGAGGAAAAGAUUCCUCGGUGGGAUGUGACGACGGGGAUUUUUUUU